GCACAGACUUACAGGGGUGUGUAUGCAUGCACCUGUGGACCCACAUACACAAGUUAUGUAAAGGCAUGCACCCAAUGGACCUAUAUACACGUGCACAUUUUUCAGGAUUGUGUGUAGGUGCACAUGUGGGCACAUGUAUGGUCCAGAACCAUGUCCACGCUUGGUAUUUCAUGCUGCUUUCCCUGCCCUCCACUGGGGAUG
rnacentral:lncRNA from 1 species